AGAGUUUGAUCCUGGCUCAGGAUGAACGCUAGCGGCGGGCCUAAUACAUGCAAGUCGAACGGUGCAGCAAUGCAUAGUGGCAGACGGGUGCGUAACGCGUAUGCAACCUACCUUUUAUCGGGGGACAACAUUUCGAAAGAAGUGCUAAUACCGCGUAAGAUAGUGGUGGGACAUCCCACAGCUAUUAAACUUUCGGGGAUAGAAGAUGGGCAUGCGUCUGAUUAGCUAGUUGGCGGGGUAACGGCCCACCAAGGCGACGAUCAGUAGGGGAACUGAGAGGUUGAUCCCCCACACUGGCACUGAGAUACGGGCCAGACUCCUACGGGAGGCAGCAGUAGGGAAUAUUGGGCAAUGGACGGAAGUCUGACCCAGCCACGCCGCGUGCAGGAGGAAGGCGCUCUGCGUUGUAAACUGCUUUAGCAGGGGAAGAAAAGACUCAUGCGUGAGGAAUUGACGGUACCCUGAGAAUAAGCACCGGCUAACUACGUG
rnacentral:rRNA from 1 species